AUAGGGUUAGAUUUUAGGGUUGAUUAAUGGUUAAGGUUAGGUGUAGGGUUAGAUUUUAGGGUUGAUUAAGGGUUAAGGUUAUGGUUAGGUGUAGGGUUAGAUUUUAGGGUUGAUUAGGGUUAGGUGUAGGGUUAGAUUUUAGGGUUGAUUAAUGGUUAAGGUUAGGUGUAGGGUUAGAUUUUAGGUUUGAUUAAGGGUUAUGGUAAGGGUGAGGUGUAGGGUUAGAUUUUAGGGUUGAUUUAAGGGUUAUGGUUAGGGUUAAGUGUAGGGCUAGAUUUUAGGGUUGAUUAAUGGUUAAGGUUAGGGUUAGGUGUAGGGUUCGAUUUUAGGGUUGAUUAAUGGUUAAGGUUAUGGUAAGGGUUAGGGUUCGAUUUUAGGGUUGAUUAAUGGUUAAGGUUAGGUGUAGGGUUCGAUUUUAGGGUUGAUUAAUGGUUAAGGUUAUGGUAAGGGUUAGGUGUAGGGUUAGACUUUAGGGUUGAUUAAGGGUUAAGGUUAUGGUAAGGGUUAGGUGUAGGGUUAGAUUUUGGGGUUGAUUAAGGGUUAAGGUUAUGGUUAGGGUUAGGUGUAGGGUUAGAUUUACGGUUGAUUAGGGUUAGGUGUAGGGUUAGAUUUUAGGAUUGAUUAAUGGUUAAGGUUAGGUGUAGGGUUAGAUUUUAGGGUUGAUUAAGGGUUAUGGUUAGGGUUAGGUGUAGGGUUAGAUUUAGGGUUGAUUAGGGUUAGGUGUAGGGUUAGAUUUUAGGGUUGAUUAAUGGUUAAGGUUAGGUGUAGGGUUAGAUUUUAGGGUUGAUUAAGGGUUAAGGUUAUGGUUAGGGUUAGGUGUAGGGUUAGAUUUUAGGGUUGAUUAGGGUUAGGUGUAGGGUUAGAUUUUAGGGUUGAUUAAUGGUUAAGGUUAGGUGUAGGGUUAGAUUUUAGGGUUGAUUAAGGGUUAUGGUAAGGGUUAGGUGUAGGGUUAGAUUUUAGGGUUGAUUAAUGGUUAAGGUUAGGUCUAGGGUUAGAUUUUAGGGUUGAUUAAUGGUUAAGGUUAGGUGUAGGGUUAGAUUUUAGGGUUGAUUAAUGGUUAAGGUUAGGUGUAGAGUUAGAUUUUAGGGUUGAUUAGGGUUAGGUGUAGGGUUAGAUUUUAGGGUUGAUUAAGGGUUAAGUUUAGGUGUAGGGUUAGAUUUUAGGGUUGAUUAAUGGUUAAGGUUAGGUGUAGGGUUAGAUUUUAGGGUUAAUUAACAGUUAAGGUUAGGGUUAGGUGUAGGGUUAGAUUUUAGGGUUAAUUAAUAGU